rnacentral:piRNA from 1 species
CUGAAUUGAUGAUCCUUUGUGUU